AUUCCAGGAAGUCAGAAAUACAUAAUUGAUGGAUAUUUCAUGUUUUUCAUGUUUCAUGAGUUAUAUUGCCAUUUUGCUUUACAAAGGGAUUGAACCAAGACUGUGUUCCACCAGAAGUGUAUAAGUAUACCGUUUACCAAAACUCCGGCAGCCCUGGGUGUUACCAUUUAAAAAGAGUGCUGGUCACCUUACCCAACCUGUGGCCUCUGCACAGAGAGGCCUUGGGGGAGAGGAAAAGCUUCUCCAGCGAUUGAUGUCAGCGGCCCACCGAGCGUGGACAGCCUCUGAGGAGACAAGGUGAAGGCUCGCGCAUUGUAGGGGUAGGGCCUCUGCAGAAGCCUCCAGCCCAGGGAACGCCGUCACCCCAGCCUCUGCAGAGCACCCUGUGGCUUUCUCUCCAACCCACACGCCAGAGAUUGUUUUCAAAAUCUAGGCCUGCGACUUCUCAUUAGAGGGUGGUAAUACCAGAAUACCCACCUUUGGCAUGUCUUCCCCUCUCUCAGAUAGCACUGUGAUAAAAGUACAAGUCUUUCAUGUGACUGAACCCCUAAUAGGGUCAGAUCCCAAGGAAGGGAGGGAGGGGUGAGCCCAUGGGGGAACUGAUGGAAAGAAACGGUGCUGCUAAUAUUAGUAUUGUGAUGUCCUCUGCUUCAGGGUGAGAAAGGCCGCAGGGGAAGGAAUCCCCUGGAUUGCCAGUGGCCCAUCAAGGUAGGGAACUGAAAUCAGCUGGACAGAAAUUUGUCCUAAAUGUGUUCCAGAUGCUUUAUAAUAAACAUGAAAUUAGUCAUUGCCAUGGAGUAGGCUGAGGAAGUAGUUAAAACUGAAGUCAGUGAUUAAUCUAAUAAGAGGCCAUUAGCCUCGAGAA